rnacentral:rRNA from 1 species
UCGAGGAUCUUUCGCAAUGGGCGAAAGCCUGACGAAGCGACGCUGCGUGAGCGAUGAAGGCCUUCGGGUCGUAAAGCUCUUUCGCGCAAGAACAAGGGAGCGAGAUGAAGAAUCACGCAACUUGAGGGUACUGCGUAAAGAAGCACCGGCUAACUCCGUGCCAGCAGCUGCGGUAAUACGGAGAGUGCAAGCAUUAAUCGGAAUUAUUGGGCGUAAAGGGCGCGUAGGCGGGAUAGUAAGUCAGAUGUGAAAUACUGAAGCUCAACUUCAGUGCUGCAUUUGAAACUGCAAUUCUAGAGGGUUGACGGAGAAAACGGAAUUCCACGUGUAGCGGUGAAAUGCGUAGAUAUGUGGAAGAACACCUGUGGCGAAAGCGGUUUUCUAGUUGAUACCUGACGCUGAGGCGCGAGAGCAAGGGGAGCAAACAGGAUUAGAUACCCGGGUAGUCC